rnacentral:rRNA from 1 species
UCCGAAUGGCUACAUACUCAGACCUUACCAGUCGACGUACCUCAAUACCAUUAAUUGAUCCAAGCAAUUGAUCAACGGAACA